CAGCACCUCAAGUGGUCAGGAUGAUUAUUGGGCCUAAAGCAUCCGUAGCCGGCGCUGUAAGUUUUCGGUUAAAUCUGUACGCUCAACGCACAGGCUGCCGGGAAUACUGCAGCGCUAGGGAGUGGGAGAGGUAGACGGUACUCGGUAGGAAGGGGUAAAAUCCUUUGAUCUAUUGAUGACCACCUGUGGCGAAGGCGGUCUACCAGAACACGUCCGACGGUGAGGGAUGAAAGCUGGGGGAGCAAACCGGAUUAGAGACCCGAGUAGUCC
rnacentral:rRNA from 1 species